CUUAGCAGCUAUAUCACCCUGCUACUUACAACUGGCAGCCCACUGAAGCUCAGCAGGUUUGAGCCUGGCCAGUACCUGGAUGGGAGACCUCCUGGGAAGCCUAAGGUUGCUGCUGGAA
rnacentral:rRNA from 1 species